GAUGAACGCUGGCGGCGUGCUUAACACAUGCAGGUCGAACGGAAAGGCUCUUGCUUGCAGGGGUACUCGAGUGGCGAACGGGUGAGUAACACGUGGGUGAUCUGCCCUGCACUUCGGGAUAAGCCUGGGAAACUGGGUCUAAUACCGGAUAGGACGAUGGUUUGGAUGCCAUUGUGGAAAGUUUUUUCGGUGUGGGAUGAGCUCGCGGCCUAUCAGCUUGUUGGUGGGGUAAUGGCCUACCAAGGCGUCGACGGGUCGCCGGCCUGAGAGGGUGUACGGCCACAUUGGGACUGAGAUACGGCCCAGACUCCUACGGGAGGCAGCAGUGGGGAAUAUUGCACAAUGGGCGCAAGCCUGAUGCAGCGACGCCGCGUGGGGGAUGACGGCCUUCGGGUUGUAAACUCCUUUCGCUAGGGACGAAGCGCAAGUGACGGUACCUGGAGAAGAAGCACCGGCUAACUACGUG
rnacentral:rRNA from 1 species